GCAUCUAUUUCAGAUCGAGCCACGUCACCACUAUCCGCGUGAACAGCUCUGACCCAAUAACAUUCGAAUACGUGGCAAGGAUCUACUUAUUAGAAUCAUAUCGUCUGGUGCCGAAUCAUCUUCUCGAAAUGACGUCUGACACUGACAUUUGAUAUCGAAUCGUCCUAUCAAUAUGACAGUCUAAUGAUGAUUCUGUACUCAUCGAAAUGACAAAACAGUCAAUGCUCAUAUCUCGAAAAAACUAGCAGCU
rnacentral:lncRNA from 1 species